UACGAAGGGUGCAAACGUUGCUCGGAAUUAUUGGGCGUAAAGCGCACGUAGGCGGCUUUGCAAGUCCCAUGUGAAAUCCCACGGCUCAACCGUGGAAGUGCAUGGGAAACUGCAGAGCUUGAGUACUUAAGAGGAUCGCGGAAUUCCCGGUGUAGAGGUGAAAUUCGUAGAUAUCGGGAGGAACACCAGUGGCGAAGGCGGCGACCUGGACGGACACUGACGCUGAGACGCGAAAGCGUGGGGAGCAAACAGG
rnacentral:rRNA from 1 species